rnacentral:rRNA from 1 species
UUUUGGACAAUGGGCGAAAGCCUGAUCCAGCAAUGCCGCGUGCAGGAAGAAGGCCUUCGGGUUGUAAACUGCUUUUGUACCGAACGAAACGGUCUGCCCUAAUACGGCGGGCUAAUGACGGUACCGUAAGAAUAAGCACCGGCUAACUACGUGCCAGCAGCCGCGGUAAUACGUAGGGUGCGAGCGUUAAUCGGAAUUACUGGGCGUAAAGCGUGCGCAGGCGGUUAUGUAAGACAGUUGUGAAAUCCCCGGGCUCAACCUGGGAAUUGCAUCUGUGACUGCAUAGCUAGAGUACGGUAGAGGGGGAUGGAAUUCCGCGUGUAGCAGUGAAAUGCGUAGAUAUGCGGAGGAACACCGAUGGCGAAGGCAAUCCCCUGGACCUGUACUGACGUCACGCACGAAA